CGAAACCUCCUAGAAGAUAGGUGCUCCCACAAUCUCCAGCUUUGGAGGAGGAAACCGGCCCGGAGGAGGGCAAGUGGCUUUCCGAGGCCUGGAGACAUGGGAAUGAUGGCCAGACCAGCACAUGUUGGGAGUGCGGGGAAUGGGGAUGUCAAAGACCAAAGUCGCCUGAUCACUACCCAAAGGACAACUACCUGAGAGACGCAGGGACUCACAGCCAGGUGACACUCCCAGAGCCCCUCCGUGCGUCCUUUGGUGAGAGGGUGGACCGCGGCUUCUCCCCAAGAGAAACAUCCCCGGGUGGGGCCACGCUGGGCAUCGCUGCUCCCUCGGCUUUCUUGGGACGGGCUAUUUAAUCUCUGCCGCGUGGACUCGGGCACACCGUCUCAAUGAAAUGUACAUCC